ACCCCGGGAAACCGGAGCUAAUACCGGAUAUGACACCAACCUGCAUGGGUAUGGUGUGGAAAGUUUUUCGGUCUGGGAUGGACUCGCGGCCUAUCAGCUUGUUGGUGAGGUAAUGGCUCACCAAGGCGACGACGGGUAGCCGGCCUGAGAGGGCGACCGGCCACACUGGGACUGAGACACGGCCCAGACUCCUACGGGAGGCAGCAGUGGGGAAUAUUGCACAAUGGGCGAAAGCCUGAUGCAGCGACGCCGCGUGAGGGAUGACGGCCUUCGGGUUGUAAACCUCUUUCAGCAGGGAAGAAGCGCAAGUGACGGUACCUGCAGAAGAAGCACCGGCUAACUACGUGCCAGCAGCCGCGGUAAUACGUAGGGUGCGAGCGUUGUCCGGAAUUAUUGGGCGUAAAGAGCUUGUAGGCGGUUUGUCGCGUCUGCCGUGAAAAUUCGAGGCUCAACCUCGAACUUGCGGUGGGUACGGGCAGACUAGAGUGUGGUAGGGGAGACUGGAAUUCCUGGUGUAGCGGUGAAAUGCGCAGAUAUCA
rnacentral:rRNA from 1 species